CAUUCUCAUUCUCCGGUCAGAUUUCACGGGGCACUCAUCCACCAAUCACGUUGCCUACUUCGCUGACAUGGAAAUCUCUUAUUUCUCCCUUCCACGAUAAGCUUCCCAAAGAGUGCAUUUUCCAAUUCCUUUUUUUAAAUGCUUCACACAUACCACAGAAACAUGCAAGCUUCCAUAAUUAUUUUUCCCAUUCCAAUUAAUCUCUUCCAUCAAUGGCCAAUCAAAUUUCUUCACUUCUACUUCCCUUCUGCAGAUUUUGUGUUCCAAGGAAACCUCUGCACAGCUCCCUGAACAUGUAAAUUUCAAAAUCAAAAUUUGGUGGCUCUCUAAUCUGCCCAACCACUUUAUCCAGCUUAUUCACAUCUACUUUCCUCCUAUGAAUUAUUAUCAAAAUUUCUUCUUCAACUAGCUUUCUAGGCCUCAUCUCCUCCACGACCUCUUCCCUCGCCCAGCUUCCCCCACGCUAAUAACUCACCUUCCCCUUUCUUCGACCUCCUUCCUCACCCAGCCCUACCACUCCGAGGAAUUCGCGUCUUCCUUCUCUAACCUCCUAUGCUCUGAGGAAUUCGCGUCUGUUUAUAGACGCAUUAUACCCCAGGUUGGAGAAAAAUCUAACUGACGCUGAGUUGGUGUGGAUGAGAAGGGAGAGACUAUUUGAGGUUCAUAGGAAAAUGGACCAAUUAGAAUUUGAACAUGACUUGGGUGGCUUGGAUACUUGAAUACACCUUCCUCUUGCAUAGACAUGUUACAGAUUGGAUUUCAAAUAAUGGAUCAAACAUAUGAGGAAAAUGUUGAAAGCAGAGUUUAUGGCAAAAAAUUGGACAUGUUACUGUUUGGAUUGGUAACUGAUCAAGGUAAUGAGAUUUGGAUGCUACAGUUCUUUAACUGGAGCAGUUAGCGGUAACAAAAUGGGGAAGGUGCAGUGCAAUAAGAAGUGAUUCUUAGUUUGGAAUAGGUUGUUUCCACAUAACCUUCAAGUGAUUCUUUCGUUACUCUUUUUACUCUUAUUUAUUUAUAACCUUUAGUUUGUUUGAUUCAGGUAGAGAUUACAGAUGAAGGUUUCAAAGCCUGAAAUCAUCCAGUACUUAAGAGGGAAGAGGUGGUAUAAGAAGCCACAACUAAUCGGUCUCUUGAAGCUGAACCGUUUGACUAGGUGAAAAAUCUAUAGAGGUUUGUUUCAGUUGCAAGCGCAAAAGGCCAGAAUAUGGCAUAGAGCAUCAAGACAUAAAUAUUGGUAUUGAAGUUAUAUACGUUGCACCAAACAUAACAUGAUUUUAAGAAGAGUUGGUAAUGGGGAGUCGGACGAUUGACAUUAUUUAAGAAUAUGUUAGUUGCAUUAUUUGAAUUAUUAGAAGAAAAUUUCA